GGAGAGGUGGCGGAAUUGGUAGACGCGUACUUUGAGGGGGUAGUGACAUUACUGUCGUGGGAGUUCGAGUCUCCUUCUCUUCA
rnacentral:tRNA from 1 species